GAAGCUGACCUGCCAGGUCCCAGCAUCAGCUCCCGCUCAGCAGAGGGACAACAGUAGGAUCAUGCAGCUGCAUAGGCAGAAGGAAGGCAUGUGUGAAAUCAAGACUCUGGUAGUGCUGGCUAGAGGCGGGUCCAGUCCAGUAUUUAAAGACGCCAGCUGAGAUCUCCAUUGUGCGAGGUGUUGCACAAACACACAGCAAGAGACACUCCCUGCCUUCAAGAGCUCACAGUUAAAGCAUGAUGGAAGGACCCCGG